rnacentral:miRNA from 1 species
GGCUUUAGUGCAAGUGGGA